AACUUCUUUCGUCUUUUCUCACAGUGUGCGCUUACCUAGACGGCCGGGCAGUUAGGAUCGUCUAUUGGAUGUGAAACCAGAGAUGCCCGCCAACCUGGAAUAGAGAGGAAGAGAGCAAGCAGAUUUGAACCUAUCUGCUUUCAAGCUGUUCAUCAUGAUGAAACUUAGACACAAAAAUAAAAAGCCAGGUGAAGGUUCCAAGGGCCACAAGAAGAUAAGUUGGCCCUACCCUCAGCCUGCAAAGCAAAAUGGGAAGAAAGCAACCUCCAAAGUGCCCUCUGCACCUCAUUUUGUUUACCCCAAUGAUCAUGCCAAUCGAGAGGGUGAAUUAAAGAAGAAGAGGGUUGAGGAGAUGAUGGAGAAGCAGCAAGCUGCCCGGGAGCAAGAAAGACAAAAACGCAGGACCAUCGAGAGCUACUGUCAGGAUGUCCUAAGACGCCAGGAGGAGUUUGAGCAUAAGGAGGAAGUUUUGCAGGAAUUAAAUAUGUUUCCUCAGCUGGAUGACGAGGCCACGAGGAAGGCUUAUUACAAGGAGUUCCGUAAGGUGGUGGAAUACUCUGAUGUGAUUCUGGAAGUCCUGGAUGCCAGAGACCCAUUAGGCUGCCGCUGCUUCCAAAUGGAGGAGGCUGUCCUGCGAGCACAAGGCAACAAGAAACUGGUCCUAGUCUUGAACAAGAUUGGAAACAGAGGCCCCCUCAGGGAGGGCUAACGCAUCCCAUAGACCAGACUGUCCUUUCUAACUCCAACCUGCGGACUGGAUGGGAAUGACAGGGCCAGUUGGGAGACCUGUUGAUGACCUGGUCCCCAAGGAGGUUGUGGAGAAAUGGCUGGAUUACCUUCGGAAUGAGUUGCCAACCGUGGCUUUCAAGGCCAGUACCCAGCAUCAGGUCAAAAA
rnacentral:sRNA from 1 species